GAAAAACCGAUGAGAAAGAGUAGUAAGUAGUUCAUCGAAGUUACAGAGAGUCGCAGAUGGUGGAAUUGCGAUACGAAGAGGAUUACAGAAUGGACUUUUGAGGGCGGCCUGAACAUACAGUAGGAGUCGCCGGGAUCCAAACCCGUUAUCAAGUUGGCAUGUAUAGUUGUACAUGAUAGAGUGGACAUUUUGUCAAGAUGAGUGGUACCGCGAUAAUAAGAAUUUAUUACCGUCUCAAGC
rnacentral:ncRNA from 1 species